ACGGGAGGCAGCAGUGGGGAAUAUUGCACAAUGGGCGAAAGCCUGAUGCAGCAACGCCGCGUGAAGGAUGAAGGUCUUCGGAUCGUAAACUUCUGUCCUUGGGGAAGAAACAAAUGACGGUACCCUUGGAGGAAGCCCCGGCUAACUACGUGCCAGCAGCCGCGGUAAUACGUAGGGGGCAAGCGUUAUCCGGAAUUACUGGGCGUAAAGGGUGCGUAGGUGGUUUUGCAAGCGCGGGGUGAAAGGCAUCGGCUCAACCGGUGUUAGCCUUGUGAACUGCAUUACUUGAGUGCAGGAGGGGAAAGUGGAAUUCCUAGUGUAGCGGUGAAAUGCGUAGAUAUUAGGAGGAACACCAGUGGCGAAGGCGACUUUCUGGACUGUAACUGACACUGAGGCACGAAAGCGUGGGGAGCAAACAGGAUUAGAUACCCUGGUA
rnacentral:rRNA from 1 species